UUCAUUGUGGACUGUGAUUUUGGGGGUUUCCCCUCUCCAAUCAAACUUUUAUUCUUUUAAUUCUUAUGAACGAAGUGUUGAGCAACCCAUUUUCCUCAGGCUUUCAAGAAAAAAUGCAUGCUGAACCGAUGCUGGCUUCAUCCAUAAAAUGUUUGUCAGCACCCAAUGCAUCUUUUUGGUAAUAUUCUAUUUUUUUUUAAUUCAGAAUUCAAAUCUGAAAUUCGUUAUGAAGGAAACCAUUUUAUUUUAGAUUCUCGGCAAAAAUUGAUUGUACAUUGCUUGAGUCGCUGGAAAAACACAACAACACAGCGGAAUUAGACGAUGACGCGAUAUGUCACUAAAGGUGACAACAUGGCGACCGAUUGGCGAUUGUGAGAACGACGAUGAAUUUUCCGAUAUUUCGAGCGAUGAACGCUAUUCUGAAGGGUCCCAUGAAGACGGCGAAGAAUACGAGCUUCAUAAAGGCGUCAUCAAUUUGAGCCAGUUAGACAGCACACACGUUCGAAUGGAGAUGAAAUGGCUGGCCAUGAAGUAGUAGAUAUAUGGCUCGUAUUGGAAACAACAAUUGGUUAGGUUGGAGGAGGCAUGGUUCCCUUUCCCCCCAUUUCCCCAUUUUCUCCAGCUCUUCUGGGGGGGGAUCCUGAAGCAUUACCAGGCAAGACGAGAGAAACAAUCCCUCCAGUGAGUCUUGGGUUUUCUCCAAGUUCUCGUACCAAUAGGAGGUACCUGGAACACCUCACUGGGGAGGCGCCUGGGAUGCAACCGAAUCAGAUGCCUCAGCCACCUUAUAUGAGUCCUUUCAAUGCAGAGGAGCAGCAGCUCAACUCUGAGUACCUCCUGGAUGACCAAGCUUCUCACCCUAUAUCUAAGGCAGAGCCCGGACACCCUACGUGCGAACACCUACAGUGGGAGUUUGGGAUCAUGGAUUGAUGAAACCAACAGAAGUACAUCAUCUGCAAAAAGGAGAUGGAAUACUGAGGCCACCAAACCUGACCCCCCAUGUCUGACUCUCCAGCAUACGACCUUGAAACGAAUAAAGAUCUUCCUUUAACUGCCUCCCUGUCUACCGAGUCGUGCAUUUGGGUCCGCCCUAGCGUUCUGGUUAUGACAGAACGAUCUGGCCACGACAUGACGGAGCCGAUGCAGGUUGAGGGGCUUGAUGGUCCGGCAGCAACAUCGGCGAGAAGGCCGAUGCUUUUACUGUGGAUGCCUGGGCACUUAAUAGCCUACUGUCCGGUCAGGCCCAAGCGCUCUGCCCUCAAGAUCACGACUGCGGGGAGUGUGAAUGACACCGCGGUGGGAUCGAGUUGAGCACUGCUUCGAGUCACCUUGAGCACAGGGGGUCGUACUUAUUCCACUACGGCCUUUAUUGACUCGGGAUCAGACGCUAACCUGAUUAAUCCAUGGGUAGUUGAGGCCUUGAGCGCUGUGACCUUUCAAAUACAGCAGUUCCGCAACACAUUCGCUGCCAAUGGUAAAUUCCUUUGCCGAGUAACUCACCGUACGCAAUCUCUGAGGAUGACAUUUCUGGACACUCACACCGAGAAGAUAAGUUUCCUUGUAUUUAACUCGCAGAGUACCGAUGAAAUCUUGGGCUUAAAAGGCUGUCUUAAAAGACACAACCCACACGUUGACUGGACCACCGGUCAAAUCAGGGCAUGGGCCGAAGAAUGCAGUUAACGCGAUGAUGGAUUCAAGAUUUGUAUUACACUAUUGUUAAGUUGUUACAAUAUGGGCUGUUCCUACAUAACAGGCUUCCAUAGAGGAAUAUACUUUUUCAGGAUACUGGAGAUACCUGAAAAAAUAUAUAUUUACAUUUUUUGCCUUCUCACUAAAAUGUAUUUGUAUACUAUAUUUCUAUUCUUUCCUGAGAAUAACAAACAUCGCACAACACUAGAAUAAACAACUUUGGUUUACUGUGGUGAUGACAUCGUAUUAUAUGCAUGGGAUACUUAUUUAGUCAUUAAAUUGUGUAUUUAUUAAAUUUUAAUUUUGAUAUGCCAUGAAAUGUCAAUGUUACCGCAUCCCGUCUAUAAAUUUAUAGAAUAAUAUUUAAUGGAAGUAACAUACCAGGGUCUCUCUUCAACUCUACACACACACUUUCUUAGGUCAACAGUAGAAGGAUCCACCCCAAAGAUUAACUUAUCUACCUGUAUCCAAUUUUCAUGUUCACUGACCUCAUGAGCAGCAUCAUUUCGGGAUUAGUCUUGGAUAAACAAGCCAUGCUCCACUUUCAAAGCCUCGAAAGAAUACUAUGUUGCAUAUUCAGUUUAAACAAUGUAUGAGAGGCACAACAUAACAGUAAGUAGAUAGAUAGAUAGAUAGAUAGAUAGAUAGAUAGAUAGAUAGAUAGACAGACAGACAGACAGACAAUAACAUAAUGAAGACUGAUCAUUGGAGAAGUGGCUGGCGUAAAUGUUAACUGCGAUGAACUGGAGAAUGAUCAGAGGGAAAGGGAUUUGUGUGAAUGUUACAUUAACACAUUAACUGUAAAGUGCAGGGAUAAAAUGUAAACAAAUCUAAUGUUCAAAAUGCACACAGUACAUAAAUGUAAGAUAUUGAAAAUAUUGCAGAAAUUAGUCUUAAUCAUAUGAUGUUAUGAAGAUCAUACAGUAAAUCUGAAAUUGUAAUAUUUGUAGUGCGGCGUGAUGAACAUAACUGAUACAAAUCCAUGCAAAGACAAGAAAUAAAUUAUAGGCCUAAGCCAAUGGGCCAUUCCACACAAAUUCCCUCUUUCAUCUAUUUUCUGAGCCACUUAUCCUUAGAAGGGUUGCAGGAGUGCUGGAGCUUCUCCCAACUGUCAUCAGGCAGGAGGCAGGGCACACCCUUAACUGGUUGCCAGCCAUUUGCGGUGCACAUGGACAUAGACAACAGUCACACUCACAAUCACACCAGGGG